CCCAGUGUGACAUAGUGGUUUGAGUGUUGGACUGCAAACUCUAGAGAACAGGGUUCGAUUCCCAGCUCAGCCA